rnacentral:rRNA from 1 species
CAGCCGCCGCGGUAACACGUAGGGUGCAAGCGUUAAUCGGAAUUACUGGGCGUAAAGCGUGCGCAGGCGGUUUGUUAAGACAGAUGUGAAAUCCCCGGGCUCAACCUGGGAACUGCAUUUGUGACUGGCAGGCUAGAGUAUGGCAGAGGGGGGUGGAAUUCCGCGUGUAGCAGUGAAAUGCGUAGAUAUGCGGAGGAACACCGAUGGCGAAGGCAGCCCCCUGGGCCAAUACUGACGCUCAUGCACGAAAGCGUGGGGAGCAAACAGGAUUAGAUACCCCCGUAGUCCCUGUCUCUUAUAU